rnacentral:tRNA from 1 species
GGAAGGUUCGCCUAGUGGCCUAUGGCGGUCGCCUGGAAAGCGGCUUGGGGAGUUUAUCCCCUCGAGGGUUCGAAUCCCUCACCUUCCG